CAGUGGUCAACGCGAAGAAAGACGAUAAUUCCCUGUUUUCCAAUGUGGGUACUGUGGAGAGGGUUGAAGGAAUCCCAAAGAUUUUUGGGCAGGAUUUGAAUCAUGGUCAUGGACAUGGUUUUAGGGAGAAACUUGCUGUUCGAAAGAUGGAAGAGAGACCAUCAUGGGAUGUUUAUCAAAAUGGGAAUCGGCUUGCAUUUUCAGGUAAUCGAAAUGGCCUGCAUGGUUCAAGUUGGGCACACAGUUUUGGUUUGAAACAAGGGAGUCCGACAGAGGUUUAUGGCUCACAAACCACAACAAAUAAUCUACAAGAGUUUGUUAAUGGAGUUAGAAAUCAAUUCCAGCCACAAAAGCAGGUGCAAAUGCAAAUUGAUUUUUCUGGGGCAACUUCAGGGCCUUCUGUGAUUGGUCGGCCUGUUAAUGUGGAAUCAGAGCAUUCAGAUGUCGAAGCUUCAUGUAAAGAAGAGCGACCUGGCACGGCCGAUGACAGGAGGCCUCGUAAACGGGGCAG
rnacentral:misc_RNA from 1 species